rnacentral:rRNA from 1 species
CCUACGGGUGGCAGCAGUGGGGAAUAUUGGACAAUGGGGGGAACCCUGAUCCAGCCAUGCCGCGUGUGUGAAGAAGGCCCUCGGGUUGUAAAGCACUUUCAGUGAGGAAGAACGCCUGGUGGUUAAUACCCAUCAGGAAAGACAUCACUCACAGAAGAAGCACCGGCUAACUCCGUGCCAGCAGCCGCGGUAAUACGGAGGGUGCGAGCGUUAAUCGGAAUUACUGGGCGUAAAGCGCGCGUAGGUGGCUUGAUAAGCCGGUUGUGAAGGCCCCGGGCUCAACCUGGGAACGGCAUCCGGAACUGUCAAGCUAGAGUGCAGGAGAGGAAGGUAGAAUUCCCGGUGUAGCGGUGAAAUGCGUAGAGAUCGGGAGGAAUACCAGUGGCGAAGGCGGCCUUCUGGACUGACACUGACACUGAGGUGCGAAAGCGUGGGUAGCAAACAGGAUUAGAUACCCGAGUAGUC